rnacentral:rRNA from 1 species
GGAUUAGAUACCCUGGUAGUCCAUGCCGUAAACGAUGUCUACUAGCCGUUGGGGCCUUUGAGGCUUUAGUGGCGCAGCUAACGCGAUAAGUAGACCGCCUGGGGAGUACGGUCGCAAGACUAAAACUCAAAUGAAUUGACGGGGGCCCGCACAAGCGGUGGAGCAUGUGGUUUAAUUCGAUGCAACGCGAAGAACCUUACCUGGCCUUGACAUACUAGAAACUUUCCAGAGAUGGAUUGGUGCCUUCGGGAAUCUAGAUACAGGUGCUGCAUGGCUGUCGUCAGCUCGUGCC